CAACAGAGGCAUUACUGGUGGU
rnacentral:siRNA from 1 species